rnacentral:rRNA from 1 species
GAUGAACGCUGGCGGCGUGCCUAAUACAUGCAAGUCGAGCGAACAGACGAGGAGCUUGCUCCUCUGACGUUAGCGGCGGACGGGUGAGUAACACGUGGAUAACCUACCUAUAAGACUGGGAUAACUUCGGGAAACCGGAGCUAAUACCGGAUAAUAUAUUGAACCGCAUGGUUCAAUAGUGAAAGACGGUUUUGCUGUCACUUAUAGAUGGAUCCGCGCCUCAUUAGCUAGUUGGUAAGGUAACGGCUUACCAAGGCGACGAUGCGUAGCCGACCUGAGAGGGGGAUAGGCCACACUGGAACUGAGACACGGUCCAGACUCCUACGGGAGGCAGCAGUAGGGAAUCUUCCGCAAUGGGCGAAAGCCUGACGGAGCAACGCCGAGUGAGUGAUGAAGGUCUUCGGAUCGUAAAACUCUGUUAUUAGGGAAGAACAAAUGUGUAAGUAACUAUGCACGUCUUGACGGUACCUAAUCAGAAAGCCACGGCUAACUACGUG